AUUGAACGCUGGCGGCAUGCUUUACACAUGCAAGUCGAACGGCAGCGCGGGCUUCGGCCUGGCGGCGAGUGGCGAACGGGUGAGUAAUGCAUCGGAACGUGCCCAGUAGUGGGGGAUAGCCCGGCGAAAGCCGGAUUAAUACCGCAUACGACCUGAGGGUGAAAGAGGGGGACCGAAAGGCCUCGCGCUAUUGGAGCGGUCGAUGUCGGAUUAGCUAGUUGGUGGGGUGAAGGCUUACCAAGGCGACGAUCCGUAGCUGGUCUGAGAGGACGACCAGCCACACUGGGACUGAGACACGGCCCAGACUCCUACGGGAGGCAGCAGUGGGGAAUUUUGGACAAUGGGGGCAACCCUGAUCCAGCCAUGCCGCGUGCGGGAAGAAGGCCUUCGGGUUGUAAACCGCUUUUGUUCGGGAAGAAAUCCUCUGGGCUAAUACCCCGGGGGGAUGACGGUACCGGAAGAAUAAGCACCGGCUAACUACGUG
rnacentral:rRNA from 1 species